AACAUGACGGGUACAAUUUCAGCUCUUUUGCUGCUUGCAGGGCUGAAGUAAGGAAGCCCAGGAUGCAGACGCGUGUGUGGAAAAUGCAGCAAGGGGAAUCCCUGCUCCCCGGCCCCCUGUGAGGAUUGCUGCAGGCACCAUCUUGCUGAUAGCGGAGCUGAUGGAGCCACGACAAGGCUAAAAUGCAAAGGAGUGCAUGCCACUGGGGCCAUCCUCAUCCUCACAGGCUGUAGAGGCACCUGCCAUGAGGUCAAAGCUGGCCUUGGCAAGACUGGAUUCUCUCGUGGCUGGGCUUGAAUGUCACACUGGGACUCAUAAGGCAGCGACUGUGUGAGGCUGAACAGAGGAUGGGAGGAGCUCUAGAGGGACCAAAUAGCAGCAGAUCUGAAGACACAAGAGUUGGAGCUCCUCUGUCUCAGAGCAUCCAGAUGAAGCAGCCAAAAGAGGCCCUGACUCAUCCAUCUCCAUUGCAAAGGUGGUGGUGCUGCAGGACUCUCAUCAGUGGAUGCAGUUGCUGUUGAGGUGCUGCCAGAUCAUUUCAUGCCUCCACUCCUCCACACCAGUCACCUUGUCCCUACAGGAAAAUGGGGAGCUUUGGUUUUAUUCCAUAUUUUCCUCAUGCCAAAGUCUAUGUAAUACCAGGUUUGUUGUUUUCAGUUUUCUUUUUUCAUUUUGAUCCCACAAAUGCCUCUUGGGAAGGUCAGUACAUCUCCCAGUCUACCACUCUGUUGUGUGCUUGAAGCUUGCAAAACUCAAGGAGGCCCCCAUCAUUCAAUUUGAUCAUCACUUCCUUGUUGAGGCUUCAAUUGCUGGAGUGUUAGAGAACAUUACUGAUAAACAAUAGAUGUCUGAUGGAGACGCUGAUUAUUUUCCUGGUACAAAGGCUACUGCAUCCUAUGUGAUAAUUCCUCUUUCUUUUCCUCCUUGUUGGCUUUGUGCUUUUGUGAUUUAUUUGCAAGCUGGCAAGUGUCCAUGGCCCUGCAGGAAAUGGAUGUCUGCUAUUGUGUUUGG